GACGAACGCUGGCGGCGUGCUUAAUACAUGCAAGUCGAACGGAAAGGCCCUGCUCUUGUGGCGUGCUCGAGUGGCGAACGGGUGAGUAACACGUGAGUAACCUGCCCUUGACUUUGGGAUAACUUCAGGAAACUGGGGCUAAUACCGCAUAUGAGAUCCUGAUGCACGGUGGUGGAUGGAAAGUUUCGGCGGUUUGGGAUGGACUCGCGGCUUAUCAGCUUGUUGGUGGGGUAGUGGCUGACGAAGGCUUUGACGGGUAGCCGGCCUGGGAGGCUGGCCGGGGACAUGGGGCCUGAGGGACGGAGCAGACGCCAAUGGGAGGCAGCGGGGGAGAAUAUUGCGCAAUGAGGCGAAGCCUGUUGCAGCAGCGCCGGGUGCGGAAUGACGGGCUUCGGGUGAUAAACCGCUUUGGACUGAAACGAAGCGGGAGUGACGGUAAUUAGUAAAAAAGCACCGGCUAACUACGUG
rnacentral:rRNA from 1 species